CCUACGGGAGACAGCAGUGGGGAAUAUUGGACAAUGGGGGGAACCCUGAUCCAGCGACGCCGCGUGAGUGAAGAAGUAUUUCGGUAUGUAAAGCUCUAUCAGCAGGGAAGAAAGAAAUGACGGUACCUGACUAAGAAGCCCCGGCUAACUACGUGCCAGCAGCCGCGGUAAUACGUAGGGGGCAAGCGUUGUCCGGAAUGACUGGGCGUAAAGGGAGUGUAGGCGGCUUAUCAAGUUAGAUGUGAAAUCCCGCGGCUUAACCGCGGAACUGCAUCUAAAACUGGUGGGCUGGAGUGCAGGAGAGGUGAGUGGAAUUCCUAGUGUAGCGGUGGAAUGCGUAGAUAUUAGGAGGAACACCAGAGGCGAAGGCGACUCACUGGACUGUAACUGACGCUGAGGCUCGAAAGCGUGGGGAGCAAACAGGAUUAGAUACCCCAGUAGUC
rnacentral:rRNA from 1 species